rnacentral:rRNA from 1 species
CCUACGGGUGGCAGCAGUGAGGAAUAUUGGGCAAUGGGCGGAAGCCUGAACCAGCCAAGUAGCGUGCGGGAUGAAGGCCCUACGGGUCGUAAACUGCUUUUGUACGGGGAUAACACCCUCCACUUGUGGAGGUCUGCAGGUACCGUGCGAAUAAGGGCCGGCUAAUUCCGUGCCAGCAGCCGCGGUAAUACGGAAGGUCCGAGCGUUAUCCGGAUUCAUUGGGCUUAAAGGGAGCGUAGGCGGGCGUUAAAGUCAGCUGUAAAAUCGCGGGGCCCAACCGCACCCGGCAGUGGAAACUGGCAGCCGUGAGUGCACAACAGGCAGGCGGAAUUCGUGGUGUAGCGGUGAAAUGCAUAGAUAUCACGAGGAACCCCGAUUGCGAAGGCAGCCUGCCGGGGUGCGACUGACGCUGAGGCUCGAAGGUGCGGGUAUCAAACAGGAUUAGAUACCCCUGUAGUC